AUCAACAUUUCAACCAUAAAAUUAUUAGGGCAAACUUCAAAUUGUAUCGUGAAAAAAAAAUCACAAAUGUAGAAGACGAAGAAUAGAAUGUCCUAAAGUGCUGGACGUUUUCUAUGGAUUGGGCAAAACAUUUUAGCAGAAAAGCCGUGGAGGUUUAUUUUAAAUCUGUCACAACACAAGCAGCGAAAAAACAAUUGACUAUAGGAAUUGAGAAGCAACAAAAAACAACAUUUUGAUCUCUUUGUCCCCAAAUCAACGUGAUAAAAUGGUGCAGCCAAGAAAAAAAUAAAUUUCAAGGUGAACAAAAAAAUGCCACAAAAAUCAGGUUCUAUUUCUUCUCUACUUAUUUAUCUUCCUUUACCCUUUCUGAUGUUGAGAAACUUAUUUUCAUAAAUGUUUAGGUAAAUGACAUAUCUUGUAAUAAACGUUAAAUACAUUUUGUUGUGUUUAGGAAUGGCAUUAGUUAAUGUUAUAGUUAACUUUGUUGUUUCAUUGCUACAAUGAGAUCCACUAAUAACUUAACAUAUUAUGGUUACAUGCAUAAAGAUUAUAUAUGUGGAAGUUUACUUUAACUUGUGGGAUGAUAUGAGACAAUUUUAUUUGAAAAAUCAUACAUGUAAAUCACGAGUGUAAUGACCCAAUCGGUCAUUUUGACUUUUAGAAUUCCGUUCCCAAAAAUAAAACUUUCCGUACGUGUUUUUAAUGAUUUAUGACUUGCGGGGAUGGUUGAUUCGGGAUUUGAAAGUGUUUGGGUUGAAAUCGGAACACUUGGUUCCUUAAGUUGGCUUUAAAAGACCAAGUUUGACUUCGGCCAACAUUUUGAGAAAAUGACCCCGAAAUAAAAUUUUGACGAUUCCAACAGCUUCGUAUGGUGAUUUUGGACUUAGGAGCGUGUUCGAAAUUUUAUUUGGAAGUCCGUAGUUAAAUCAGGCUUGAAAUGACUAAAAUAGGAAUUUAAGUUUGGAAGUUUGACCGGGGAGUUGACUUUUCGAUAUCGGAAUCGGAAUCUAGUUCUGAAAAUUUUCAUAGCUCAGUUAUAUCAUUUAUGACUUGUGUGUAAAAUUUGAGGUCAAUCGCACUUGAUUUGAUUGGUUUCGUCAUCGAAUAUAGAAGUUGGAAAUUUUAAGUUCCAUUAAGCUUGAAUUGGAGCAUAAUUCGUGGUUUUAGCGUCGUUUUAUGUGAUUUGAGGUUUCAAAUAAGUUCGUAUGAUAUUUUAGGACUUGUUGGUAUAUUUGGUUGAGGUUUUGAGGGCCUCGGGUGAGUUUCGGAUGGUUAACGGAUCAAAAGUUGGACUUAAAACAGCUGCUCCAAUUUUUCGUUUAUGCUCGAAAUUCUGGGCUGUGAUCGAGCCCAAGAUCGAGGCCUAAGAUCGAGGGUCAUGAUCGAAGGCCGGGCUCGAGAGUCAUGAUCGAAGGCCUAUGCUCGAGAGCCAUGAUCGAAGACAAAGGCUCGAGGGUCAUGAUUAAAGGCAGGGCUCGAGAGUCAUUAUCGAAGGUCCACACUCGAGAGCCAUGAUCGAAGCCAUGAUCGAGGCCGAGGAUCGAGGUCAUGAUCGAGGGCUGCCUAGGCAGAAUUAUAAAGGAGGGUAUUCGUCCCAUUCGCCAUUUUUAACAAAUUGGAGCUUUGAUCAGAGGUGAUUUUUGAUAGAUUUUCAAGGAAAAGACAUUGGGGUAAGUGAUUCUAAUUCGGAUUUGGUCAAUAUACCACGAAUAUAUCAUUGUUUUAACCAUUUAAUUAGUGUUUUGAGAUUGAAGUUUGGAAAUUUUUUAGAAAUCUCAUAGAAACGAAUUUUUGAGAUUUCGGUAUCGAUUCGGAGUCGGAUUUGAGUGAAACUAGUAUGGUUGGACUCGUAAUUGAAUGGGUUGUCGGAUUUCGUAACUUUCAUCGGAUUCCGAGAUGUGGACCCCACAUGCAAAUUUUUAAUUAAUUUCAGAAUUUUUAUUGAAAAUGUAGUAUUUUCUUAUGAAAUUGAUUCUAUAAUUUUUGAUGACUGUAUCAAAUUAUUUUUGGUUAGAUUCGAGCCAUUCAGAGUUGGAUAAUCGAGGAAAGGGUCUACUAGUAGAUUAAAUUAGAGCAAGACGAGGUAAGUCUCUUGUCUAAUCUUGUGAGGGGAAAAAUUACCCCAUAGAUAAUUAAAGUAAUAAUUAUUACUAAUUGUGGGGGGCUACAUACGCACGAGGUGAUGAGAGUCCGUGCAUAGCUACUAUUAAUGCUAAAGUUCGGGUAGUUUAGGACUCAAAGCGUGAAUUACUUGUGUAAAUUAUAUUCUUGUUUAAUUAAUAUUAUUUGAUAUAUAUAGUAUAUGAGAUUUCUAUCCUUUAAUAUUUUUAUCUAACAAUUCAUACACACACACACACAUAUUUAGAUAAAAAUAUUAAAGGAUGUGUGUGUGUGUGUGUGUGAAUUGUUAGAUAAAAAUAUUAAAGGAUAAAAAUCUCAUAUACUUGGUUUUCUGUUUAAAUUAAUUAAUUAUUGAGAGAAAUUAUUCUUCCUUCCGAAUUUAUCUAAUAAUAAAUAUACUCUCCUUCCGGAGGUACAUAAGAAAAUAACCUCAUUUCUUGUGGAGCGGGCUGCCUUGGCAGGAUAGAUACAUCUAUGGAUCGCGCCGCACUUCCCUUGGCAGUGUACACGACACUCUGGAUCGGGCCGUACGACCUCGGCAGAAAUCGUGCUAAUAAUAAUAAUUACGCGAUAAUUUGAUAGUUUAUUGAAGCUUGUGAAGCUAAUGGAUAAAUUGAAAAUCUUUAAAAUUUAAUUAAUUAAUUAUCUCUGCUUGUUAAGAAAUUAUUGUUAUCCCUGUAAAUGAGGUUAAUUAAUAUAUUAAGAAUUGUUAUAUUUGAAGGAAUUUAAUUAUUUCUGCUGGUUAAAGAAAAUCAUUGUAAAUUCUAUAAAUCAUGUUUAUCUAGAUAUUGCUAUUUUUAUUUUAUUUAUUAUUAUUGACUCUUAGUGAGUGUCAAAGUCGGCCAUCUCGUCUCUAUCACUUCGAGAUUAUGCUUGAUACUUACUGGGUACACGUUGUUUACGUACUCAUGCUACACUUGCUGUACUUUUUGUGUAGGAUCUGAGGCAAGUACUAGUGGAUGACCUAUCAUCGCACAUCCACGUUAUCCAGAGGCGUAGUGAUGAGCUGCCUUUCUGAGCCGUUCUGCAGCUACCGUUGCCUCUUCUUGCAUUUUUAUUCUGUCUAUUUUUAUUUCAGACAGUAUUUGGAGUUUUGUAUAAACUACUAGAUGCUCAUACACUUAUGACACCGGGUCUUCUCACACACAUUGGUAAAAUUUGAAAUUGUAUUAUUUUGUUGGAUUUAAGUUAAUCGGUAUCUUUUCUAAUUUCUUAAUAUUGCUAGUAAAAUAAUAAUAUUUCUUAGAAAAUUAUUCUGAAAAUAAUUGACAUAUGUUUUAAUUUAUUUGUUCGCUUGCCUAGAGGUAAUGUUGGGCGCAAUCACGAUCUAUAUGUGAAAUUGGGUCCUGACAACGAGAAUGAAUAAAACUUUCAUUUGGAUGUUAUUUGAGAUCAUGAGAAUAAAUAAUUAAACUUUGAUUGUUUAUUUUCAUAGGAUUAGAUAAUAUCCAAUUAUUUUAACCUCGACAAAAAAUGUCAUUAUACGACGAUUCACAUUAAUCAUUAUUAGAAACUUAUACUUAUUUUUCACGUAUAAUUAUUUACUCAAAGUUUCUCAUAAUAUUUAUAUUGUAUUAUUUUUGUAAAAGCGUGUAUUACAUAACUCGGCAUACACGAUACAAUGAUUCACAUUAAUUAUUAUCAGAAACUUGUAUUUAUUCUCUCACAUAUAACUAUUUACUCAAAGCUUUAUUUCAAAAAUAUUUAAAUUAUCUGUAUCUAUAUCUAUAUCUAUACUAUAUUAAAAGUACAAAGGCCCUUAGCAAAAUGUCGUUCGCCUUUUUUACCCUUUAAAAAAUAAAGUUCACACUAGAUAAAAUAAUUAUUUAAUUAUUUCUCUAAUAUUUAAGAAUAUCCAUUUAAUUAGUUCGCUAAUACUUAGGAAUAGUCAUUUAAUAUGUUCCUAAUAUUUAGGACGUAAAAACUAGCUAAAACUUUACUUAUUAGUGAUUUGUUUUCUUAUUUUGUUUAUGUAGAUUAUUCCCAAUCUAAUUAAGUUUCUCAAAUGCAUGUAAUUAAUAUUCCCUUUGUUUCAAAUUAGAUGGGGUAGUUUCCUUUUUAGUCUGUUCCAAAACAAAUGACACAUUUCUAAAUUUGAAAAUAAUUUAACUUUAAAUUUUUUUUUACUUUAUCCUUUUUACCCUUAGUGAGAAGCUUUUAUAACCACACAAAUGUUACGGCCCCAUAAAACUUUUACUCCUUAAACUUUUAAGAUCACAAAUUUUAAAAAUCUUCUUUGUUUUCUUAAACUCCGUACCGAAUCAAACUAUCUCAUCUAAAUUGAAACAAAUGGAGUAUUACGACUCAAGGACUCAAGAUAAUCCCUUUUUAUUUUGGCAUUUUACUUAAACAUAUGGAGGGAUUUAGAUUUUUACAUUAAUAAAGUGGUUAAAAAAAUUAAAUUUUAAAACUUAUUACAAUCAUAUGUUGGUCAAUACGUUUACCCGUUACUAAUAGAUUUUAUGCUGAAAAAAUUUAUUGUUUAAAUUUUAUUUAAUAUUUAAAAUUUUAAAAAUAACUAAAAUUCUCUAUGUGGUAUGUUAGAUCGAAUGUUUUAACCUUUGAACAUAGAAUUCUUGUUGGAUAAUAAUAUUGUUAUAGUUAAACAUUUAAACAUCGGGAAGAGCUAAUAUUAAGAAUUUGAAUAAAGAAAAAUUAUUUUCUUUAAUGUUGAGAAUGAAUAGUUAUUUUUUUGAACUAAUUUAACAAAAUAAGUUUUUGAAUCAAUUAAUUAGUGAGAAAUCCAAUUCAAUUAUUUUACAAACUCAUCAUAUAAGUAAUUGUAAAACUCGUAGUGCACAUAAAUUUAUUUUCUUAAGAAGAGCAUUGAUGAUAAAAGAAAGACAAAGAUAAAGCAAGUUAGUUACAAUAUAGCAUUGAGAGUAAGUUGGUAAAAAUACAAACUUAAAGUAAUAAAAAUAAAAUAGUAGAAGACAAAAUAUAUUCUAAAUAAGUUAUCAUUAAUUAUAUUUCUUCCUUUGUAUUUGUCCAACUAAUGACAGGUUUCUAUAUAUUUUUAUAUAUUAAGUUAUUUAUUAAAAAAAAUUUACUCAAUAUUGGUCAUUUUUAGACUUUAUAUGGAGCCAACCUUUCCAUUUCCAAAUGUCUAAGAGAUCACAAAAUUUAAUUUUGUAAUUGGCGUUGUGUUACAAAUCUUUGGAGAAUUAUAAUGAACUAUUGUUGUGUCACUUGUUUGUUUGGAGUAUUAAGUCAUACAAUAGCAAUAAUUUUCAUAAGAUAUUCGCAAAGAAGUCCUCAAAAAUCACAAUAAGGCAUCCGAGGAUUUCUACGGAGCAUGAUGUUUUUCAUAAUAAGCUAGCUAAACGAGAUCGGUAUUUAUUAUUUUCAAGAAAAUAUAAUUUUUUUAUUUUUUUAUUUCAUAACAUAAAUACAUCGUUUAAUAAUGUUUAUGUAAUUCAUAAAAAAAGCGCGUACCUGAAGACUAGUUAUAUUAAAAGCAUGAACGUCCUUAGCGAAAUAUCGUUCGUCUUUUUUACCCUUUAAAAAUAGCUUUUAGAUUGGACAAAGUUGUAAACGUAUAAUUUAAUUAAUUUACUACUAAUUUAAAAUCAACUAAAAUUUAGGUUAUUAAGUUUUUUCCCUAUUUGAACUAUGUACAAACUCCUAAUAUUUAGGGUAAUAUGUAAAAUUAACUAUAAUACCUUUCCUUUUAAUAUGUAAAUACCUUAACGUUGAAUAACGAUUUUGUUAUGAGAUUAAUUACAUCUCUAUGAUGAUGCCAACGUAAUGUUACAUUUGAAAUUGUAACGACCCAACCGGUUGUUUCGACUUUUAGAACCCCGUUCCCUUAUAUAAAACUCCUUAAAUAUGUUUUUAAUAAUUUAUGACUUGCGGGAAUGGUUGGUUCGGGAUUUGGAUGUGUUUGGGUUGAAAUUGAAACACUUAGUUCCUUAAGUUAACCUUAAAAGGCCAAGUUUGACUUCGGUCAAUAUUUUAAGAAAACGAUUCCGGAAUCGGGAUUUGACGGUUCCAAUAGGUUCGUAUGAUGAUUUUAGACUUGGGCGUAUGUCCGAAUCGGGUUUUGGAUAACCCGGAAGCGUUUUGACACUUAAUAGUAAAAAUCAACUAUUUGAAGGUUUAAAAUUCUUUAAAUUUGGUUUGGGGUAGGUUUUUGAGUAAUUGAAGUCCGUUUGGAAUUUUGAGUUUGGGAACAGUUUCAUAUAGUGAUUUAAGACUUGCACGCAAAUUUUCGUGUCAUUCCGAGUAGUUUAAGUGUAUUUCGGCGCAUUGGAAGUAAAUUGAAGAACUUGAAAUUCUUAAGUUUGAAUCAAUUUGGUUUGGGGUACGAUUCUUAGAUUUGAUGUUAUUUUACACAUUUCGUGAGUUCGAGCGAGUCAGUUUUAUAAUUUCAAACCUGUUGGUAUAUUCGGGCGGGGCCCCGGAGGAUCCGAGUGUUAACCGGACGAGGCUCGGACCAAUUUUGGAAAAUUGAGCAAGGACUGAAGCUCCCAGCUACUGUCAUAAUCGCACCUGCGCUUGGACAACUGCAGGUGCGAGCUCGCAGGUGCGAGCCACCAAUCGCAGGUGCGAACGAGAGAAGCCUGCCUAGCCAUCGCAGAUGCAAAGCAUUUGGCGCACAUGCGAACGCGCAGGUGCGAUGGCCUUGUGCGCAGAAGCGAAAAAAUGCACAGGUGCGAAGGGAUGGGCGCACCUGUGCUUGCGCAGAAGCGAGCAUUUCUUCCGCAGGUGCGGAAUCAGGAAAAGAAGGAAAAUGCGCACUUGCGAGGAAUUUUCGCAGGUGCGAAAGCCGCAUGUGCGGUACUCCUUCCGCAGGUGCGAAAAAACCUGUCUGGGCAGAACCUUAAAACGGAUGAAAACUCAGUCCAUUUCUUUCUAUUUUGCAUCCAUUGUUGGGAGAUUUCAGAGCUCUUUGUGAGGAGUUUUCAACUAACCACUUAGAGGAAAGUUAUUUCUACACCCUUUGAGUUAAAUACAUAGAUUAUAAGUAGAUUAUAACUAGUAAAUUUUAGAAAUCAAAGGCUUAGAUGAAAAAUCUAGAUUUUUAUAAAAAUGAGAUUUUAACCACGAAAAUAGUCAUGAAAUUGGGUAAAAAUUAUAUAUUUAAGUUUUUGAGAUUAUGGGUAACGUUUACAUCCGAAAAUUUUCAGAAUCCGAACACGUGGGCACGAGGUGAAUUUUAGGAAUUUUACCAUUUUGGAUAAGGUAAUUUAUGUAAUAGAUAGAUUUCGAAUCAUUUAGCAUAUAUUAAUUAUUUUGUGCAAUAUUUGGAUAGUUUCGAAUUUUUCGGCGUCGAAUUGAGAAUUCAACGCGACGUGGUAAUCGAAAAGUAAACUUUGAGACGAGGUAAGUCUCUUGUCUAAUCUUAUGAGGGGGAAAUUACCCUAUAGGGAUUAAAUUGAAUAAUUAUUGCUAAUUGUGGGGGCUACGUACGCACGAGGUGACGAUAGUCCGUGCGUAGCCACUAUUAAUGCUAAAGUCCGGGUAGUUUAGGACUCAAAGCAUGAAUUACUUGUGUAAAUUGUAUUCUUUGUUUAAUUAAUAUUAAUUGAUAUAUAUGAAUAUAUUGUGAAUUGUUAGAUAAAGAUAUUAAAGGAUGAAAAUCUCAUAUGCUUGAUUUUCUGUUUAAAUUAAUUAAUUGUUAAAAAAAAUUAUUCUUCCUCCUGAAUUUAUCCUAUAAUAAAUAUACUCUCUUUCCGGAGGUACAUAAGAAAUUGUCCUCCUUUCUUGUGGAGCGGGCCGAACGCCUCGGCAGGAUAGAUGCAUCUAUGGAUCGUGCCGCACGUCCCUCGGCAGUGUAUACGACACUCUGGAUCGGGUCGUACGUCCUCGGCAGAAAUCGUGCUUAAUAAUAAUAAUUACACGAUACCUUAAUAGUGUAUUUCAGUUUGCGAAGCUAAUUGAUAAAUUAAAAAUCUUUGAAAUUUAAUGGAUUAUUAUUCUUGCUUGUUAAGGACUUAUUGUUAUUCCUGUAAAUGAGACUAAUUGAUAAAUUAAAAAUUUAUUGAAAUUAAAUUGCAACUUGUAAAGCUAUUUGAUAAAUUGAAAGUUUUAUUGAAAUUGCAUGAUUUAAUUAAUAGAUUGGAAAUUGUUGCAUUUGAAGGAUUUUUAUUAUUUCUGCUAAUUGAAUAAAAUUAUUGUUAACUCUGUGAAUCAUGCUGAUUUGAAUAAUUAUAAUUUAUUCCAAUUAUUAUUAUUAACCCAUAGUGAGUGUCAAAGUCGGCUAUCUCGUCUCUACCUCUUCGAGAUUAGGCUUGAUACUUACUGGGUACAUGUUAUUUUCGUAUUCAUACUGCACUUGCUGCAUAUUUUAUUGUGUAGGUACAUAUAUGUAUA
rnacentral:lncRNA from 1 species